GGAGAGGUGGCCGAGCGGCCGAAGGCGCUUGCCUGCUAAGCAAGUGAGGGUUUUUUACCCUCCGAGGGUUCGAAUCCCUCCCUCUCCGCCA
rnacentral:tRNA from 5 species